GAGGUGAUCCAGCCACACUGGAACUGAGACACGGUCCAGACUCCUACGGGAGGCAGCAGUGGGGAAUAUUGCACAAUGGGCGCAAGCCUGAUGCAGCCAUGCCGCGUGUAUGAAGAAGGCCUUCGGGUUGUAAAGUACUUUCAGCGAGGAGGAAGGCAUUGUGGUUAAUAACC
rnacentral:rRNA from 1 species